GACCAGCACAGACAGGCGUGGCCCAGGCAUCUCUGGGCAGGUAUCACUUUGAGUGGUUCACUCUCAAACAUGACUAGGAGG
rnacentral:pre_miRNA from 1 species